UUACCGCAUCUAUACACUUCUGUUGCUUAGUAACAAAUUUUAUAGGCUCAUAUUUUGAUAUAAGAUUUAGAGAUUAUCUUUCUUUGCCAUACAUGUUAUGCUUAAGUUCAUAGAAACAAAAAAAAAAUCUUUUCAUAAAGCCAUACAGGAACCAAAAAAAAAACUGAAACCCUUAUAAAUAGCAAAAGAAUGACAUCUAAAUCUGUACAUACAAUUUUGGUAAUCUCUUCUAUAAACAAUCUGGAUGAUUGUUUCAGUAGGUUAAAACUCUCUCUGUUCUUAUUGCUGCUGUACACACCUUGCUCUGUUUUCUUUCUUGGUUGAAUUUGCAGACCGGGACGCACAUCCUGCUACAUCCCAAAGUUUUUUUCCUGAUAUAAUGAUGCUGAAAGAAUCAGAAAAUUCAGAGUCAAUCCUGAUAUAGGACACUUUUUUGAAUUUUUGCUGUUGGUGGUCGUCGUCGCAGCUCCUUCCCUCCACGUCGAAGACCUUAUGGCCGAGCUUGUCUCAUGGUGGUCGUCGAGCUCAUCUGGAUUGCGGCUGUAUGUGUGCAAUUUGGUAUGAAUAUCGCCCUUCCCUGAGUCUCCUACCCACCAUGGGAACUUUUGGCACAUAUUCGAUCCAGAUGCAUGAUUAUUGUUGAGAUCAUUCGAUGAUUCUGUUAGCACUUUAAUAUGAACCUCUCGAAUAUUGUUAUGAUUUUGUUAGCACUACCAUACGCUGAUUAGGUCACUUGUUGAGUUAUUCCAGAACCUAUUAUGCUCUUUUGCAGAGUUUCUUUGGUUGAAACUAUCAGCUGUGCCUAUGUUUAAUAAUUCUAAAAUAUAUCAAUAUAUCUGCUCCGUCUAGAGAGGAUAGGGGGCUGCUUGGGCAUGGCGCAGCAGGGCAUGUCAAUAUAGUUUGGAGUCUGGGAAAGGGAGUGCUCUGCACCUAGGUAAAUUAGCAACACGUACUCCUACUUCUCAAAAUAUGCAUGUUUGGAGAUUAGUUUUUAUUUUCUUAAGAUCUCUAUAGAAUUUUUGUCUGGAUAACUAAAAGUAUUUGUUCAGAGUACUUUGAUUUCUUAAAAUUUUGGUCAAUCAAAGAUAUAUUCCAUUUUGUUUCAGAAUAGGAUGUACUUUCCUUACAGGAUAGACAACAUGGAUAAGAAUGUGUACAUUCAAGCUUAAGGCUUUGGACAUGUUUUAGGAUACAUUUGGUCCCUUUGAUUGCGGCUCUAUUUUUUUUUCAUAGCAAGUCUAGCAGGGUGUGCACAGGUUUUUGCAGAAGCAUAAUAUAGAUGGAAAUGUGACAAGAGUGGAGCUGCCAGUUGGGUUUUUAACCUACUUUUGAUCUUGUGUAACUACAAACUGUCCAGUCCCACAAAGAAGUUAAAUCUUUUUUUUUUGCAGAAAAUUGGCUAUAAGUUGGCUUCCAUGGACAUGCAUUUCUCAACGUAUGAUAUCCUCCCGACUCUGACUGAACUAUGUUUGAUGCAAAUUCAGACAUGCUCUGCAUUUUUUGAUAGCAAUGCGGGCUGCAGAGAUCGUCUGCGUAGCUCUGCGGGCGUUGAUGUUAAUCCUGUCGAAGUAGCCGUCACAAACUCCAAGAAUUGUUUUGACUUUGCGCUCAUGAAAUGCUUUUUGUCUAUUUUUUUUUUAUUGAUCCGAAGACAGGGAUCAACUGAACUAUUUUUCAGUUUGCAUCCUCUGCUUUUUCACAGUUCUUUCAGGAUUUGCUUAUUCACAAAUGUCUGUGCUGUUUCUGCAGGCAUUAUUAUGUCACCUUCAGCAUUGGGGAUCCGGCCAAGCCUUACUUCCUGGGUAGCCCAAGUUUGGUUGACUGUUGGUUGUGCAGUCCUUUAUUCUGUAACUGUACCUUGACUCCCAAGGCAUGCAGUGUCAUUUGUUUCUUGUAAACUUGUCUUACCUUUCAUGCAUUUGUCUGUUUAGAUAUUGUAAUUUGAUUUUUUUGCUUCUCCGUAGAACAAAGCAGGAGGUAUGGCAUGUAAUCUAUUGGAAAUGUGUUGAUGUACUUCUUAAGAGGAAGUCUUCCAUGGCAGGUCUGAAAGUUGGGAACAGAAGCAUAAAUAUGAGAAAAUCAGCGAAAGAAAAAUUGCUACCAUUGAGGCAUCUUCUUAAUUGUAUUCUCUUACCUGUAGGUCCUCUGUCAUGAAUAUCCCACUGAAUUUGCAUCUUAUUUCCAUUACUGCCGCUCACUGCGCUAUGAAAAUACGUCAGACUAUCAGAUCUCAAGAAAUUGUUCAGAGGAUUUUUUUAUUGGAGAAGGCCCCGGCGGCAGGGCAAAGCUCUGGGAUGGCUUCCAUGGCAAACAGACAGUCAGCUACGAUGCUACCAAGAUUAGUUUGUGGCGAAUCAGUCAUAUCCAUUAUCUGAUGAUUAUGCACACAAUAGCUUGUCUUCUGGGUGCAUGACGCAAGGCCUAACUGAUGGAGUUAGGUUGUCAGUAAAGCAGUCAUAUGGAAGCAGUAGCUUGUCAUGUUGUCGAUAUUUAACUCAGGUUCCAACUAGUGAUGAAAGAGGCUAUUUGACCUCAACUCCGUAUAUCCCAUCAUAUCAUUAUUCAUCUCUGGCAAGUCCACCACGCAAUGCUCACUGGAAGGAUGGUUACAACAUCAACUGCGACCAAUGCAAAGAGAUUUAUGCAUCUGAGCAUCAGAGUUUAAACAAAGGAAAAUCCGUUACACCUCCAGAAUCGACUCGACUCAGCAAGGUACUCCGGAUUACCUUGAAGCUCCUGAAGUAUCAGCAAGCUUUCAUUAGAAAGAAAGCUUUACUCUGACCACAUCCCAAUCACUGAUUGUCCUGAGCACUUUGUAAAAGAACAACAGAGAUGUGAUUUCAAUCGUGAUGGCUCAGUCUCACCAGGUCUUGGACAUGAAAAAUUAGUUCAUACAAGUAGCAAACAAGUCAGCCCAAUGUGUAGGGCCAACAUAGCACCAACACAAGUCAGCCUAAUGUACACAACAAACAUGUGCACUGCUUUAACAGAAUUUUGUUGUUGUAUCAUC